CCCUUAGAUGUUCUGGGCCGCACGCGUGCUACACUGAGUGGAUCAGCGGGUCAGGUUGCGCGAAAGUGUUUCCUAAUCUUGAAAUCCGCUCGUGAUGGGGAUUGACGGUUGCAAUUUUCCGUCAUGAACGUGGAAUACCUUGUAAGCGCGGGUCAUCAUCCCGCGCUGAAUACGUCCCUGCCCUUUGUACACACCGCCCGUCGCUCCUACCGAUUGAGUGGUCCGGUGAGGCUUUGGGAUCUGAGCAAAGAGAGCGUUUCGCUCGUUUUGCCCGGAAAACUCAGUCGAACCUUAUCAUUUAGAGGAAGGAGAAGUCGUAACA
rnacentral:rRNA from 1 species